AUUUAAAGAGCAUCUUCCUCCAUAAUUAACUAAUAUCAUUCAAUCAACCUUAACUCUCUGAUACAUCUUCAAUUCAUUAAAAGAGGUGAAAGAAAAAGGCUACAAAACUGCUGCCAUAGUGGUGAAUUAAUAGUUCACACAUUAUACAUUAAUUGGAUGUACUCUUUCUUUUGCACAUACUUUUGAACCAUUUGAUACAAUUUGAAGCAGUUGCUUUGACUUUGCCGAAACCACCCUUAGAACCUGAAUUCUUGUUCUUGUCUGUUUCCUUUUGAGAUCUUGUCACAUCAUCUUCCAUGGCACCAAUACCACCAGCACCCCAUUGAUCUGCCCAACUUGGAGCUUCGCUUGCCAUCUUUCCCUGAUGCCAUCACCAUAAAACAACCUUAAACCUUUCAGAUACCAAGAGACAAAAUCUCAACAAAUCAUUACUACAGAACAAAUCUAUUGAAGGUGAAACCUUAUAAACACUAAUAGUUUUCUGAAUUUAUAGCCAAUCUGAUCUUAUGCUCAAUGAGGGAAUAACAAAUUUAAGUACUUUCCUUCAAAAUAUAUUACAGCACGUGAUCAUGAAUUCAUAUAAAUUGCAAGACACAUCUAAUAAAACUGGGGAAUCUUUCAAAUCCAGAAAUACUUGGCAAGUGCCUGUGGUGAAAACUUGAGACAGAAAAGCUUAAAGACAGGAGCAAUACCUCCAAAUGGAAUGACUGAGAUUUUGAUGCAGAAGAAUGGUUGAUGAAAGAAAGACUUGAAAUUUAAAAGGACUUGACAACUCACCUAUCU
rnacentral:sRNA from 1 species